AGAAUCAACGCUGGCGGCGUGCCUAACACAUGCAAGUCGCACGAGAAAGGGGCUUCGGCUCUGAGUAAAGUGGCGCACGGGUGAGUAACACGUGAAUAAUCUACCUCCGAGUGGGGAAUAACUGAGAGAAAUCUUAGCUAAUACCGCAUAACACUUACGAGUCAAAGCAGCAAUGCGCUUGGAGAGGAGUUCGCGGCCGAUUAGUUAGUUGGCGGGGUAAUGGCCCACCAAGACGAUGAUCGGUAUCCGGCCUGAGAGGGCGCACGGACACACUGGAACUGAAACACGGUCCAGACUCCUACGGAGGCAGCAGUGGGGAAUUUUGCGCAAUGGGGGAAACCCUGACGCAGCAACGCCGCGUGGAGGAUGAAAUAUCUUGGUAUGUAAACUCCUUUCGAUGGGGAAGAUAAUGACGGUACCCAUAGAAGAAGCCCCGGACUAACUUCGCGCCAGCAGCCGC
rnacentral:rRNA from 1 species